UACGGACCCGGGCGAACGUUAUUCGGAAUCACUGGGCUUAAAGCGUGCGUAGGCGGCCUGGAAAGUUGGGUGUGAAAUCCCUCGGCUCAACCGAGGAAUGGCGCUCAAAACUCCCAGGCUUGAGUGAGAUAGGGGUGAGCGGAACUGAUGGUGGAGCGGUGAAAUGCGUUGAUAUCCAUAGGAACUCCGGUGGCGAAGGCGGCACGCUGGACCCCCUUCUGACGCUGAGGCGCGAAAGCCAGGGGAGCAAACGGGAUUAG
rnacentral:rRNA from 1 species